GACGAACGCUGGCGGCGUGCUUAACACAUGCCAGUCGAACGGAAAGGCCCUGCUUGCAGGGUGCUCGAGUGGCGAACGGGUGAGUAACACGUGGGUGAUCUGCCCCUUACUUUGGGAUAAGCCUGGGAAACUGGGUCUAAUACUGGAUAGGACCAUGCUGUAUGUGGUGUGGUGGAAAGAUUAGUUUCGGUAAGGGAUGAGCUCGCGGCCUAUCAGCUUGUUGGUGGGGUAAUGGCCUACCAAGGCGUCGACGGGUAGCCGGCCUGAGAGGGUGGACGGCCACAUUGGGACUGAGAUACGGCCCAGACUCCUACGGGAGGCAGCAGUGGGGAAUAUUGCACAAUGGGCGCAAGCCUGAUGCAGCGACGCCGCGUGGGGGAUGACGGCCUUCGGGUUGUAAACUCCUUUCAGCCAUGACGAAGCCCUUGUGGUGACGGUAGUGGUAGAAGAAGCACCGGCUAACUACGUG
rnacentral:rRNA from 1 species